rnacentral:pre_miRNA from 1 species
UCUGAGUCUGGCGUCACAUACAUGUAUUAAGGAAUGUAUGUGACACCAGAAUCAGUGG